rnacentral:rRNA from 1 species
GUGAGGAAUUUUGCGCAAUGGCCGCAAGGCUGACGCAGCAACGCCGCGUGGGUGAUGAAGGCCUUCGGGUCGUAAAGCCCUGUCAGGUGGGAAGAAAGGCUUGGAGAAGCAACGCUUUGAGUUUGACGGUACCACCAGAGGAAGCACCGGCUAACUCCGUGCCAGCAGCCGCGGUAAUACGGAGGGUGCGAGCGUUAUUCGGAAUUACUGGGCGUAAAGCGCGUGUAGGCGGGGAUGCAAGUCUGAUGUGAAAGCCCUGGGCUUAACCUGGGAAGUGCAUUGGAAACUGCAUUUCUUGAGUACUGGAGAGGAAGGGGGAAUUCCCGGUGUAGAGGUGAAAUUCGUAGAGAUCGGGAGGAAUACCAGUGGCGUAGGCGCCCUUCUGGACGGUAACUGACGCUGAGACGCGAAAGCGUGGGGAGCAAACAGGAUUAGAAACCCGGGUAGUCC